GUCCCUUUUUAUUCAGUUUUCAAUGAUUUUCUUAGUCUAAUUAAUCAUUACUUUUAACAUUAAAAUUGAAAAUAAAAUGAUUUUUGAUGUGAAGAGACAAGCAUAUUCAAUUUAGUGUAAAAGAGUAGUAUAACAGUGCUAAAUUCCUGAAAUAUAUAUGCUUGGUUUCUUAUUAAUUUCAUUUGUUUGUUUUUUUUUGGAUCAGGGGUUACAAGAACUUGAUGAAUUAUGUAGUAUAAUGAAGAAUGAUUUUAUGUCAGAAGCUUGAUUGAAUGAAGAACAUUUGCGCUGCAAAAAAUCGUCGUAGAGAAUUCGAGGUAAUUUUUUGCAGAAUCGGAGAGAGUUCAAGGUAAUUUUCUUCAUAAUUUGGAGCUGGAUUUUGACAUGUGGAGUGGACUAAUGUUGUGCAACAGAGGUGUUUCAGAUUAUAGCUGCUACAUAGCAGUGUUUCUUCCACCCCAGCAUUUUGUGUUUCUUCCACCCCUAUU